rnacentral:rRNA from 1 species
GAUGAACGCUAGCGAUAGGCCUAACACAUGCAAGUCGAGGGGCAUCACAUGAAGUAGCAAUACGGAUGGUGGCGACCGGCGCACGGGUGAGUAACACGUAUGCAACCUGCCUUCAACAAGGGGAUAACCCGUUGAAAGACGGACUAAUACCCUAUAACACAGGGGUCCCGCAUGGGAAUAUUUGUUAAAGGACAACCGGUUGAAGAUGGGCAUGCGUUCCAUUAGCUAGUUGGCGGGGUAACGGCCCACCAAGGCAACGAUGGAUAGGGGAACUGAGAGGUUUAUCCCCCACACUGGUACUGAGACACGGACCAGACUCCUACGGGAGGCAGCAGUGAGGAAUAUUGGUCAAUGGACGCAAGUCUGAACCAGCCACGUCGCGUGAAGGAAGACGGCCCUACGGGUUGUAAACUUCUUUUAUACGGGAAUAAAGUGCCCCACGCGUGGGGUUUGCAUGUACCGUAUGAAUAAGGAUCGGCUAACUCCGUGCCAGCACCGCGGUAAUUACGCAGCGA